GCCAAUGUUUCUUUUCCUAAUGUUUGGCUUAUGUUUGCUUUAUAAUCUUAUUCACUUCGUCACAUUUUGGCUCUGUAGUUUGCAUUUUGGAUAACAACUGCAAGAAUUAUUGUUGGUGCAGUAUUUGUAUUUUUUAUAUUGUAUUCAUAACUCAGGAAAAGGAAAAUACUAUAAACACGAGAGAACGAGUAAGCUAGACCUUCUUCUUCAUCUUGUUAUAUUAUGAAUAUUUUCACUCCACUGUGCAGAUGGGUACACACACAGCAGUGUCGUUGUUUUUAUAGGGAACAAUGGAGACUGCUAGGCAAGGAGAAAUGGAGAGAGAAAUCAGCUAAAGAUCAGCUGUGUUUCUAUAUCUAUAUCACAAGUCGAUGGCUCCUUGCUUCAUACGGACCAAAUUCAGCAACCAACACAUCCCUUUUCGCAUACAGUAUUUUCUGUACUAUAAUUGUAUCGAGCUAUUAGGUUGUGUAUGUCGUGAAGAGCUUCCAUUACAAGAAUUGAAGUAGGCGUUCCUUUAUUCGUCCCUAUCCAAAUUUUACAGUUAUUUGGAAGCGAGGUCAUAGUCCCCUAUCUACUUAUUUAAGUUGCUCAUGCAACGAGAGUGUAGAUGUUAGCUUUUGAAAUUGUUUUGGCGGAGUUGAGUUUGUU
rnacentral:lncRNA from 1 species